rnacentral:tRNA from 1 species
AACGUGGUGGCUAAAUUGGUAUAGCAUUGUGCUACGGACACAAACAUUAUAAGUUCGAGUCUUGUCCACGUUA